rnacentral:lncRNA from 1 species
CUCCUUGACGCACAGCUGGUGCCCCCGACGGUUGUAGAGCUUGCAACCUUCCCUGAGUGGCUUCUUGCAAGUGUGGCAAGAGUUGAAGUCGAGCGCAACACUUUUUGGACCUGGGCAGACAUAGGAAGCAAACCCACAUUCGAGCGUGCAGGCUUUACCAGGUCCUGAGACGCAUACUGAUUUGCCAUGCCCCAAGUCCAUGCAACCUUGAGGAAUGGUGCAACAAGUAGCGCAGCUGCCUGGCUUCCAAGGAUGGACAGUGCCUCCACAAAUCUCCACGGCAUCCUUCAAGCAGGAGUUGUCAUCACCAUUUGGCAGUGGUGCACCAGUCUUUAAAUUGUAGAGAUGACAGCCAUUCGAAGGCUCCUUAUCCGGUGGGAGCACAGAAAUUGGAAUUCGGUUAGUUCCUCGGGAUGGGCAGACUUUGAUUUUUGGUGGAUGACAAAUUAAGGGGCAAGGACGAAAAGGGGAGGUGCCACCAAGACAAACUGGACUGCCAGUUCCAGGCUCGAGAUAUAUGCAUCCAGCCUCAAGCGCACAGCAACUGGAGCAUCCGUCGAGAGUGACAACAGCAUCACUACAAACCUGGAGACGAUGGCUGCUGGCUGCAAAAUCAUCUUGACAAGGCAUUCAAGAAGUCAGUCCUGAAAGAAAGAAUCAAAACUUGGAGAUCAACCUGCAGAUAUCAGAAGUAGCUGAAAGCUUAGGAUAGUGAGGAACAAGAAUGAAGCUGCCAUGUUGUUGUGGUGCUGAACCUCGGGCUGUUUGGAUUUAUAGUCAGACAGAGUCUUAUCUAUGUGAUGACUUGGCAUCUGAUCGAUCUCUACAAAAUCUCACGUUUUUUCCGGACUUGAAAGUUGCGUAUGGAUUGUACUGAUCGGGGGCCACCUAGCCUGACUCUCUGUGGUGAAACAACUCAUAUACUUCCAGAGAAGUGUCCCAUCAGUAUUUUGAUUAGGGCGACGUGGCCGGAAUGAAUUUCCACGUUGGUUAGCGGCAUGCCACGUCAUAAUAGACGAAGCGGCCAUGGCAGGGCUGCUUGGCCAUGGCGCUUCUUUCAACGUGGCCAGGCUGGGAGCACUAGGGUAGCAGCUCACAGCGCUGCCACAGUAAUGUGCUAUCCGAUCGAUCGAUCUUGGUCUCGGGUUUAGCUUCUAGAGGUUUCCGGCUUCGCCACAGCUAGUGGUUUCUUCCUCCGGCCUAUGGCACCGCUAGAAAAUCCUCCAAACCGACUCAGCCCUUGAAGAACAGAUCGAGAUUUAGGAGGAACAAGAGAUUGCACGAAAGGUCUUGCGUUGGGAGCUCGACCGGUGCCUAGCUGCUCUAUGGAAGAUUUGCCGUUCAAACGGAGAGUGCUCAUGAGAUUGAGCUCCAUCUAUAAAUUCAAUCCUUUAUGAGAUAUGAGUGCCACGUCUGCAUUUGACAAGGUGAUGCCGCGAUUCAAAUUUCUGGCGCUUGGAUGCCCGGUGCCUCAGCAUGGGUAAUACCAUAUGUAUUGAAAUAUCACAUAUUGAAUGAUUUUGGAACAGCUUAUGCACAACAAGGGAACUCUUUUGAUUAUAUAUACACAUUUGUGGGCUCAGCUGGAGGCAUUUACAAUAUACAAAUUGAUUUCCUUGUCCUAAUUUUAAUCUUGGAUUCCCCUUCUUUUGCCAAUGUCAAAAUUACUUUUGCCUGUUGAACUUUACUAGACCAAAGACAAGAAAUCCAUUUGCAUCCAUUGCAUUGUGGUUUAAUGCAUUUAGUUGUUGGGUGUUACAUGUAUACUUAUUCUUUCAAAGCCUAGAAAAAAAAAAUCAUUUGCUAUAAUCAUACUCCUUUACCUUUUUCUAGAAUAUAAUCUAAACCUUAAACCCUAAACCCGUGGCAAAAUUGAAGGCAACAGGUCUUGUGUGACUUUAAGAAUUGCAUGCAGUAACAACUGGAUCAAUCAAGUGGUUGAGAUCAAAAUCUUCAAAUUCUAUAAUAAGCCAAAACAUGAGACUCAUGAGGUAUUGGCUUGUAGUAUUUAUUUCCAAAGGCAAUUACUGAAGCCUGGUGAUUCAAGGCAAAAAAUUGAUGCCCUUUUGGCCCUUUUUGAGCCAUUUUACAUGGGUGUUUUUAAAAAUGCCCUUUAAAUAUUAGGUAAAAAUUACCAAAAUUUCUUUUACGUGAAGGAUGCGCUUCUAUAUAGCCCUUUUGUUCAAGGGCAAUAAAAUAAAAUAUUCUUUCAGAAUAUUUUUCUCUUUCUUAAUGGACAAUGAAUAUUCCGAAUUAAAUGAGCAAGGAGUCUCGAUGACUCUCUCAAUUGAUUAGAAUUUGGAUCGCAUGCCAUAGUUGUCUUGUUUAAGUUUUACACAGAAGAAAUUGAAAGGGCAACAAGAGUCAUCAUUCAGUUCUCAUACUGUACAUUCAAUCUUUUCUAUUUCCAUGCAUUUACUUGUAGAUCUUAGGAAAAAAGUACAUCCUUUCUUCCCUUUCUAGGCCCCCAUUGCCACAGCUCGCCAUGAUUGUCCAGAUCUGCGGUAGAAUCCAGUGCGGGAUUGAUUGCUCAGGCUCUUUAGCCCGGGAUUUCUUCGACUGGAUGGCUUCACCUCUCGCAAUACCAUUGAUGCAUGAGUGCGUGGAAGCAAAUGUUCCAGCGGUGCUGUUGGCAUGAUCGUCGUAUUGGAGGGCUUGGUUCUCAUCCACCAGCUGAGAAUCUGGGCAGGCAGGGCAGAUCGAGCUCCCACAGCUCCAGAAAAUUGGUAAGAUAUCUUCUAACUUAUCAAUCGACGUGCAAAACUCAUGAAGCUCCUCUUGCAGGAAGGAACAAGCCGAGCUUCCACUAUCUCGCCGCCGAAUCGACAGCCAACUGCGACUAGUUCUAGCGGAGGAAAGCCUUGGUACGUUCUUCUUUUAAACUGGGAACUGACAAAGUUUCUAUCCAGUUCUUAGUUCCAGACGCUAGACUUCGAUGCAAUGAAAGAGAGAAGAGAGAAUCUGGACAGUCUUAAGCCCAAGAUCGUUGACAUGGUUGUCAAGAAGAUGAAGCAUAACACAUAUCUCUCGCUCGAUUUCUUUACGCUGGCCAUGAGAAUCUCCAGCUUCCGGCACGACGUGGUGAUGGUCAUGAUCCUUGGAGUCGAUGGCAACUAUCUUGGUGAUCACAGACAUGCCCCGUGGAAACGAUCUCUAUGUGAAGACGAGGAAGCUGUGGCCGCCACAUCGUCCGAGACAGCAGAAAGACCCCCAAGUAGGCUUGGAUAGAUUCAGCAUGGUAGCAGUCCAACACCAGCUCGGGAGGAAGACUUAAACAGCCUACAAGAAGGAAAGCAACUCCGUGGAUCUGAUCAUGAGUCUUUUAUAGGCAACAACACGAGCAAUGCGUGAAGGGGGCCAGAGAAGCUAUUGAGAAGUACUCAUUAGGUGCUGGUCGACCUCAAGUUCUUACUAAGCCAGGAGUUGGAUGCUCUCCAUGAGACUCGUGACCACGUACUGAGUCGCUUACUUGAAAUGGAUGGCGGGAUGCAGAAUCCGAAUCCCGAUUAUGUGCAGCGCGCUGGACAAUGUUCCCAGUGCCAGCCUAGACACACUGGGAUAACCUGUGCUCAUUGUGCUAUUGAUCUCAUGUUUCAGGUACAAUCUACUUCUUUCUUGUGUGGAUAAACAGAAAUAUGCAAAUAGGCGAUUUUACUUGACGUCCCGAGCAGCUGAAUUAGAUGGCAUUGUUACUGCAGAAGACGCCUUUGUUUCUCAAGUACGUUCACAGGCAGGAGAAAAGGAGCAGCAGUAGCUGCGGUAAGGCAACUUCUUUUUGUUUUUCUAACUUUUUUCUUUUGUUUUUCUUUCCUUCGAGCUUAAAUAUUUCUUUUCACAGGUUACGCACAGAUGUUCUGAAACGGAAAUGGUUUUAAAAAUUUUACUUGCAUACAUGAAAGCGGAAACGAACCUUGAGGAGGAUGAGAUAGAAGCCGCAAAGAAGCACCUCGAGUACCUUGAAGUAAACACUCCUGUGCUUAUUUGUAAGUCUGUUUGACAAACCGUGUCAAUUCAGGCAUUGCGUAGCGAAUAUGCAGCGGCGAGACGCUUGACAACAGCACAACAAUUAGUUCUAACUGCAUUGGACGAGCUGAGCAUGUCGACAACAAGGCUAUGUUUGCUUGCAAGGUGCCAAGGCUGCAGACGGCAAUCCUUUUGGUGAUGAAGGCUACGAGAUAGCAAUUAGAAACGCGGCGCUUACCAACGAAAAAUUUGUUGCUGUUGAGAAUCUAUCUCGUGUGAAGAGGCAGCUCAGAUACUUGAAGGUAUUAGGCUUAAGUUUUCUUCUAUUCGCAGCUCCUCUCAUUUCCGGAUUGCAGGGUCUAAGGAAUAAGAAGGACGAGGGGCAUAACAGUUUGGAAGGAGAAAUUUGCCCAGUUUGCCACGAUGGCAUAGAAUCUGGAGCAAUGGUCCUUCCGUGCGGCCAUUUGCUUUGUGGCAAGUGUAAGUUUUUGGUGUCUUACUUUGUUGGUUUCCUGAGCAAAUCUUCAUUUUACUUCGCAGGUUUGAAUCUUAUUGUGGACCGCCAGAAAGCACCAGCUAACGGUGCUGAUUUCAAGCGCAUUGCAUGUCCAACGUGCAGACAACAGACUUAUGUCUCUAAUAUAUGCUGAAGCGGCUUCUUCGAAAAUUGCUGAAAUCCUCCAGGAAGAAGAAGAGGACGAAGAAAAAUCUAUAACCGUGGCAGGGUCGUACGGAACAAAGGUAAUCUCGCUUUGUCGUCUGCUUUUUAUUUUAAUUCUUUUGCAAGUUUGAAGAUUGAAGCUGUCGUCAGAAGAAUUCUUAGUCUGAAAGAAGACGAUCCGUUUGUGACAAUUCUUGUGUUCUCGACGUGGCAAGAAGUGCUGGACUUGUUAGAACACGCACUGAAGAGCAACAAGCUCAGCUGGGUUCGAUUAAAGCAGCGCAGGUAACAUCGAUAAUCUGUUUUACUUUUACUCAUGUGCUCGUUUUGUGUUUUUCACAGACAAAUGGGUUCUUCCAUCUUGGAAUUUAAGAAGGAGAACAUCCAAGUCAUGUUACUGCCCACACAACAUGGUGCCAAUGGCCUGAACUUAAUAGAGGCCCAACACGUUAUUUUGGUGGAGCCUUUGCUCAAUCCGGCAGUAGAAGCUCAGGCUAUCAAUCGAGUCCACCGGAUUGGCCAACGUCUAAAGACACUUGUACAUAGAUUCAUUGUAAGUUACGUACGUUUCUUCUGUUUUCCAAUUACUGACGACAUUUCCAGAUACGUAACACUGUGGAGGAGAACAUCUACAAAAUGAGCCAGCAGAAGACGAACCUCCUUCCAAUGAAACAAAAAGAGCAGCCUCUUUCAGCAAAUGACAUGAACAGCUUACUAGCUUGGGACGAACUGAAAGAGAACACAUCUACUUCAAACACCCCCAGUGGUUCUACUCCUGAUACUUUCCGAGAUUUAACUCCGGCUCAAGCUGCUGCUGCUGCUGCUGAAUCGCGGCUCUUGUGACUACAGGCCAACGCUUGCCUAUAGAUUCCUUGUAAGUACUUUCUCUUGCAUGUCCGGAUUCUGAACCUUUGUAUUUUCUAGCAGAGAAGGAACAUUCUUUAAUCGAAAGAUGAGCUUUCGGUAAGUUUUUCUUUUGGCGAGGGGUUUAGCUAGCUAGCAACAGAGAUGGGUGCCAAGUUUCAGCCCCUUCCUCGCUUCUACUGGACGAAGGAACAGAUUGCUGCGAUCAGAGACCUGUGCCGUGACGACGAUCUCUACGUGAAGACGAAGUAUGGUAGGAAACUGAGGCCGCCGCCUCGUCCGCGACUAAGUCGAGAGCAGGAACGCUUUGUUCGCGCAGACCCUCAAGCAGGCUUGGAUAGAAUCAGUGGGCAGUGGGUAGCACUCCAACACCAGCUCGGGAAGAAGCCUUACACAGCCGAGGAGCAGGAAGGCAACUACGUGGGUCCGAUUCUGGGUCACAAGCAAUACAGGUGCGAGCUCCAUCUUCACAGGGGACAGAAGCAGUGGAAUGUCCAUGCAGUCGGGGACAAGUUUCUGGUCUACGAGACACUUCCUCCCGCGACCGACACCGGUGAUGAUCCUCCGGUGCUUUGUGGUCGCGACAAGUUCGUCAUUGGUCGCCCUCUGUCAGUAACAAUGGACAACCGGGCGACAAAUGUUUCCUCGUCAUGGAACUCGUUUCCAGUGUGGAGCUUGCCAGAAGAAGGCAAAGAGGGAACGAUCGGGAACUAUAUGGUGCCGAGCAGUAAGGUGGCGCUGCCGGGUUUAGUUCCAGGCAAAGGAGCGCUAGUCUUCGAUGCCUUGUACGAGACUGUGAAGGAAGGAGGAGCGAGCUGGAGCUCCGAGAUGGUUGAGAAGCUGGACAGGCUCAAGCGUGGGAUAACGCACCCCCACCAGGUCUGCGUGGUUCUCAAGAAGAUCAAGCACGACGCAUCUCUCUCGCUCAAGCUCUUUACGUGGGCCAAUACGAUCCCAGGCUUCAAGCACGACUUGGUAAACUACUCGACGAUGAUCAUGAUCUUGGGAGAUGACGGGAACUAUCUCAUGGCCGAGGCGCUUUUUGUUGAGAUACAGGAGCUCGGGCUUCGCCUUGACACGUUUGCAGUGAACAACAUGAUCCGCUGCUACACAAGAGUGAACCGGAUCCAGGAAGCUCUCGACCUCUACAGGAAGAUGCCAUACUUUGGCUGUCACCCGGACAAUUGCACCUUCGGCCUCCUCAUCGACUGGUGCGGCAAGUUCGGCUCCCGGAAGGAGCUCCAACGGAUCUUCCUCGACUUGAGAGCCUCCCCCCACAAUGCCGACGCGCAGACGUUCAACACAAUGAUCCACAACUUCUGCAAGCAGCGGGACUUCGCAAACGCCAGGGAAGCUGCCAACCAGAUGAAAGCCUGGGGGAUUCCAUUCUCCUCUGCAACGUACGCCAUCCUCAUCCACAUGUACGCCAAGGCUCGAGACUCGAAAGCAGCGGCAGAGCUCUACGCGGACUACCUCCGCUCCGGCCUAGAGCCAAACUUGAUCGUCUACAACAACGUGAUACUGAGUUACGGUUCCAGCGGCUUCCCUGGCCAUGCGCAGAACAUCCUGGGUGAUAUACGAAAGGCCGGCCUCGCUCCAGAUCGAUUCACGUACUGCACGCUCAUAAGUUCGUGGGCGAGAGCCGGAGCUAUGCUGCAAGCCCGGCGAUGGUUCAACAAAGCCUGCAAGACGAAGGCCGGUCCAAGCAUCGAGAUGUGCAACGCGCUCAUCGAUGGCUACCUCAAGGCCCGAGAAGUGGAACCGGCUAAGUUCAUCCUCACCAAAGUCAUGCCGGAGAGAGGCAUGGAGCCGACGCUGCAAACGUACACGAUCCUCCUGGGCCACUACACGAGCAGCGUCAAGGUGGCGGACUCGAGAGCAGUGAGAGAGAUGAUGAAGUCGUCCUCGAAACCAGCAGCAGCAGCAGCAGGAGGAGGAGGAGGAGGAGGAGAUGAUCAUCCCGGCGUGGACGAGUUCCUGAACGAGAUCCUGCAAGGCCUCCGCGCGAUCAAGGAGCUCAAGAGCUACUCGAGGGAGUUUUUCCGCAAGCUGAGGAUGGACAAGCCUCCUCGCUGGGGGCGAUGGCUGGCGGAUGCUCUCGUCAACCAUCUCCACUGCUUUGGCUACGCUCGCGAGGCCUUCUACGUGUGGGAGGGUGUCUCCUCCACAGAGCUCUACCCGAGAGGGAUCUGGGAGGACUGGCAGGGAGCGUGGUUUAUCUGGCUCCAGGAUAUGAGCUCCGGGACUGCGAUGGUGGCGCUCACCAGUGGAUUGAUCGUGUCCAGGCGGAAGCUCGCGCGGGGAUUCGAUAGGCCGGAGCGAGUGAUCAUCGUGUGUGGCUAAGAGCAAGGAGGUGACCCAUGCGGUGAACAGGACGCUGGUGGCUCUAGACUCGCCGUUUGAGCCUUUCAUCUCUAUGGGGAGAUUUAUGUGCGAGGGGAACUUGUUUAGAGACUGGCUGUGGGAGAAGCAAGUUGCUAUAGAGCUCACCAUGGAUGCUUAUAUGUAAUUAGCGCAUUAGUGGGAUGGUAAAAAGGACCAAGAUUCGUUGGAUCUAGCCUUUUGCUUUGCUUUAUUUUUUCUUAAGUUCAGGUAUUUAGGAUUUUUCUUAGGCUGCAAAUUAGCACAUGGAUGUGAUAAGGCAAGAGCGAGCCAUAUGUUGUUUCAACUCAGAGGAAGCUGAUGAGCUGGUUAUGCAUGAUUUGUCUCUGUGGAGAUCUAUAACAUGGAAUACUGGGAAAGUAACCAUUAUGCCUAGGUAAAGUUUGUUUGGAACUUCUUCAUAAGUGCAAGAUUACAAAGAGAUUGCAGACAACAAGUCUCGUUGUCAAACUUUACAUAUGUAAUAUAUAUACAUUAUUUAAACAACCAUGCCCAGAGCUGUUUAUUUUAUAUAAAUACAGCAUCAUCUUCUAGGCAAGCUGGAGUAGAUCAUCCUCCUUGACGCACAGCUGGUGCCCCUGACGGUUGUAGAGCUUGCAACCUUCCUUGAGUGGCUUCCUGCAAGUGUGGCAAGAGUUGAAGUCGAGCGCAACACUUUUUGGACCUGGGCAGACAUAGGAAGCAGAGCCACAUUUGAACGUGCAAGUUUUAUCAGGUCCUGAGACGCAUAUCGAUUUGCCAUGCCCCAAGUCCAAGCAACCUUGAGGAAUGCUGCAACAAGUAGCGCAGCUGCCUGGCGUCCAAGGAUGGACAGUGCCUCCACAAAUCUCCACGGCAUCCUUCAAGCAGGAGUUGUCAUCACCAUUUGGCAGUGGUGCACCAGUCUUUAAAUUGUAGAGAUGACAGCCAUUCGAAGGCUCCUUACCCGGUGGGAGCACAGAAAUUGGAAUUUGGUUAGUCCAUCGGGAUGGGCAGACUUUGAUUUUUGGUGGAAGACAAAUUGGGUGGCAAGGACGAAAAGGGGCGGUGCCACCAAGACAAACUGGACUGCCAGUUCCAGGCUCGAGAUAUAUGCAUCCAGCCUCAAGCGUACAGCAAUUGGAGCAUGCGUCCAGAGUGACAACAGCAUCACUACAAACCUGGAGACGAUGGCCGCUGGCUGCAAAAUCAUCUUGACAAGGCAUUCAAGAAGUCAGUCCUGAAAGAAAGAAUCAAAACUUGGAGAUCAACCUGCAGAUAUCAGAAGUAGCUGAAAGCUUAGGAUAGUGAGGAACAAGAAUGAAGCUGCCAUGUUGUUGUGGUGCUGAACCUCGGGCUGUUUGAAUUUAUAGUCACACAGUGGCAUGCGAUCGAUCUCUACAAAAAUCUCACGUUUUUUCCGGACUUGAAAGUUGCGUAUGGAUUGUACUGAUCGGGGGCCACCUAGCCUGGCUCUCUGUGGUGAAACAAAUCAUAUACUUCCAGAGAGGUGUCCCAUCAGUAGUUUGAUCGGUGAGGUCCGAUGUGGCGCCCUUAUUAGGGCGACGUGGCCGGAAAUACAAAGGAUUGCAUGCCACGUCAUAAUAGACGAGGUUAGCGAAGCGGCCAUGGCGGGGCUGCUCGGCCAUGGCGGUUCUUUCAACGUGGCCAGGCUGGGAGCACUAGGGUAGCAGCUCACAGCGCUGUCACAGCAAUGUGCUAUCCGAUCGAUCGAUCUGGGUCUCGGGUUUAGUUUCUAGAGGUUUCCGGCUUCUCCACAGCUAGUGGUUUCGUCCUCCGGCCUAUGGCACCGCUAGAAAAUCCUCCAAACCUUGAAGAACAGAUCGAGAUUUAGGAGCAGCGAGAGAUUGCACGAAAGAUCUUGCGUUGGGAGCUCGACCGCAAUUCUGCCUAGCUGCUCUAUCGAAGAUUUGCAAGUCGAGCGUUCAAACAGAGUGCUCAAGAGAUUGAGCUCCGUCCAUAAAUUCAAUCCUUUCUGGGCUCCGACCAAUGUGAUGCCGCGAUUCAAAUUUCUGGCGCUUGGUGCCUCAACAUGGGUAAUACCAUACGUAUUGAAAUAUCACAUAUUGAAUGAUUUUGGAACAGCUCAUGCACAACAAGGGAACUCUUUUGAUUAUAUAUACAUAUUUGUGCAGUUGGAGGCAUUUAUACAAUAUACAAAUUGAUUUCCUUGGAUUUCUUGUCUUUGGUCUAGUAAAAUUCAACAUUGGCAAAAGAGAACUCCAAGAUUAAAAUCAGGACACCAUUUGCAUCCAUUGCAUUGUGGUUUAAUGCAUCUAGUUGUUGGGUGGUACAUGUAUACUUAUUCUUUCAAAGCUAGAAAAAAAAUUUCAUUUGCUACAUGCAAUCUAAACCCUAAACCCUAAACCUUAAAUAGACACGUGAAAAAAGGGUGGCAACCCUUCAAUUUUGAUUUUAAUGAUGCUCCAAUAAGCCAUUUAUCUCUAUGGGGAGAUUUAUGUGCGAGGGGAACUUGUUUAGAGACUGGCUGUGGGAGAAGCAAGUUGCUAUAGAGCUCACCAUGGAUGCUUAGAAUUAAUAUGUAAUUAGUGCAUUAAUGGAAGGGUAAAAAGGACAAAGAUUCGUUGGAUCUAACCUUUUGCUUUGCUUUAUUUUUUCUUCAAGUUCAGGUAUUUAGAAAUUUUCUUAGGCUGCAAAUUAGCACGCCAUAUGUUGUUUCAACUCAGAGGAAGCUGAUGAGCUGAACACCAAUGCAUUGUGAUGUAUGAUUUGGCUCUGCGGAGAUCUAUAACAUAGAAUAUUGGGAAAGUAAACAUUAUGCCUAGGUAAAGUUUGUUUGGAACUUCUUUGUAAGUGCAAGAUUACAAGACAACAAGUUGCGUUGUCAAACUUUAUAUAUAUAAUAUAUAUAUAUACAUUUCAAGUACCCGUUAUUUAAACAACGAUGCCCAGAGCUGUUUAUUUUAUAAAUACUGCAUCAUCUUCUAGGCAAGCUGGAGUAGAUCAUCCUCCUUGACGCACAGCUGGUGCCCCCGACGGUUGUAGAGCUUGCAACCUUCCCUGAGUGGCUUCUUGCAAGUGUGGCAAGAGUUGAAGUCGAGCGCAACACUUUUUGGACCUGGGCAGACAUAGGAAGCAAACCCACAUUCGAGCGUGCAGGCUUUACCAGGUCCUGAGACGCAUACUGAUUUGCCAUGCCCCAAGUCCAUGCAACCUUGAGGAAUGGUGCAACAAGUAGCGCAGCUGCCUGGCUUCCAAGGAUGGACAGUGCCUCCACAAAUCUCCACGGCAUCCUUCAAGCAGGAGUUGUCAUCACCAUUUGGCAGUGGUGCACCAGUCUUUAAAUUGUAGAGAUGACAGCCAUUCGAAGGCUCCUUAUCCGGUGGGAGCACAGAAAUUGGAAUUCGGUUAGUUCCUCGGGAUGGGCAGACUUUGAUUUUUGGUGGAUGACAAAUUAAGGGGCAAGGACGAAAAGGGGAGGUGCCACCAAGACAAACUGGACUGCCAGUUCCAGGCUCGAGAUAUAUGCAUCCAGCCUCAAGCGCACAGCAACUGGAGCAUCCGUCGAGAGUGACAACAGCAUCACUACAAACCUGGAGACGAUGGCUGCUGGCUGCAAAAUCAUCUUGACAAGGCAUUCAAGAAGUCAGUCCUGAAAGAAAGAAUCAAAACUUGGAGAUCAACCUGCAGAUAUCAGAAGUAGCUGAAAGCUUAGGAUAGUGAGGAACAAGAAUGAAGCUGCCAUGUUGUUGUGGUGCUGAACCUCGGGCUGUUUGGAUUUAUAGUCACACAUAGUCCUGUCUAUUUGAUGACUUGGCAUCCGAUCGAUCUCUACAAAAAUCUCACGUUUUUUCCGGACUUGAAAGUUGCGUAUGGAUUGUACUGAUCGGGGGCUAGCCUGACUGUCUCUGUGGUGAUGUCCCAUCAAGGUCCGAUGUGGCGCCCUAAUUAGGGCGACGUGCUGGAAUACAAUUUCCACGUUGGUUAGCGGCAUGCCACGUCAUAAUAGACGAGGUUAGCGAAGCGGCCAUGGCGGGGCUGCUCGGCCAUGGCGCUUCUUUCAACGUGGCCACUAGGGUAGCAGCUCACAGCGCUGCCGCAGCAAUGUGCUAUCCGAUCGAUCGAUCUUGGUCUCGGGUUUAGCUUCUAGAGGCUUCCGGCUUCUCCACAGCUAGUGGUUUCUUCCUCCGGCCUAUGGCACCGCUAGAAAAUCCUCCAAACUGACUCAGCCCAGAUUUAGGAGCAGCAAGAGAUUGCACGAAAGAUCUUGCGUUGGGAGCUCGACCGCAAUUCUGCCUAGCUGCUCUAUCGAAGAUUUGCAAGUCGAGCGUUCAAACAGAGUGCUCAAGAGAUUGAGCUCCGUCCAUAAAUUCAAUCCUUUCUGGGCUCCGACCAAUGUGAUGCCGCGAUUCAAAUUUCUGGCGCUUGGUGCCUCAACAUGGGUAAUACCAUACGUAUUGAAAUAUCACAUAUUGAAUGAUUUUGGAACAGCUUAUGCACAACAAGGGAACUCUUUUGAUUAUAUAUACACAUUUGUGGGCUCAGCUGGAGGCAUUUACAAUAUACAAAUUGAUUUCCUUGUCCGGAUUUUAAUCUUGGAGUCCCUCUCUUUUGCCAAUGUGAAAAUUACUUUUGCCUGUUGAACUUUACUAGACCAAAGACAAGAAAUCCAUUUGCAUCCAUUGCAUUGUGGUUUAAUGCAUCUAGUUGUUGGGUGCUACAUGUAUACUUAUUCUUUCAAAGCCUAGAAAAAAAAAAAUCAUUUGCUGCAUGUGAUUAAUCCUUUAUCUUUUUUCUAGAAUAAACCCUAAACCCUAAAUAGACAGAACCAUGUGAAAAAAGGGCUUCAAUUUUGAUUUUAAUGAUGAGAAAAUUGCAUGCAGUAACAACUGGAUCAAUCAAGUGGAUGAGAUCAAAAUCUUCAAAUUCUAUAAUAAGUCAAAACAUGAAACUCAUGAGGUAUUGUCUUUUAGUAUUUAUUUCCAAAGGCAAUUACUGAAAGGCAAAAAAUUGAUGCCCUUUUGGCCCUUUUUGAGCCAUUUUACAUGGGUGUUUUUUAAAAAUGCCCUUUAAAUGUUGGGCAAAAGUGCAUAUAGCUUUUUUUGUUCAAGGGCAAUAAAAUAAAAUAUUCUUUCAAAAUAAUUUUUUCUCUUUCUUAAUGGACAAUGAAUAUUUUGAAUUAAAUGAACAAGGAGUUGACAGUGUUUCUCUCAAUGACAUUUUCUCUCAAUUAAUUAGAAUUUGGUUUGCAUGUCAUAGUUGUCUUGUUUAGAGCAUAGUUUUACAGAAGAAAAUGGAAGGGCAACAACACUCAUCAUCUAGUUCUUAUACUAUACAUUCAAUCUUUUUUAUUUCCAUGCAUUUAAUUUAUAGAUCUUAGGAAAAAAGUACAUUCUUUCUUCCCUUUCUAGGUCCCCAUUCAUGAUUGUCCAUAUCUGCGGUAGAAUCCAGUGCGGGAUUGAUUGCUCAGGCUCUUUAGCCCGGGAUUUCUUGGACUGGAUGGCUUCACCUCUCUUGCAAUACCAUUGAUGCAUGAGUGCGUGGAAGCAAAUGUUCCAGCGGUGCUGUCUGCAUGAUCGUCGUAUUGGAGGGCUUCGUUCUCAUCCACAGCUGAGAAUCUGGGGAGGCAGGGCAGAUCGAGCUCCCACAGCUCCAGAAAAUUGGUAAGAUAUCUUCUAACUUAUCAAUCGACGUGCAAAACUCAUGAAGCUCCUCUUGCAGGAAGGAACAAGCCGAGCUUCCACUAUCUCGCCGCCGAAUCCACAGCCCUCCAAUACGUUCUUCUUUUAAACUGGGAACUGACAAAGUUUCUAUCCAGUUCUUAGUUCCAGACGCUAGACUUCGAUGCAAUGAAAGAGAGAAGAGAGAAUCUGGACAGUCUUAAGCCCAAGAUCGUUGACAUGGUUGUCAAGAAGAUGAAGCAUGACACAUAUCUCUCGCUCGAUUUCUUUACGCUGGCCAUGAGAAUCUCCAGCUUCCGGCACGACGUGGUGAUGGUCAUGAUCCUUGGAGUCGAUGGCAACUAUCUCAUGGUGAUCACAGACAUGCCCCGUGGAAACGAUCUCUAUGUGAAGACGAGGAAGCUGUGGCCGCCACAUCGUCCGAGACAGCAGAAAGACCCCCAAGUAGGCUUGGAUAGAUUCAGCAUGGUAGCAGUCCAACACCAGCUCGGGAGGAAGACUUAAACAGCCUACAAGAAGGAAAGCAACUCCGUGGAUCUGAUCAUGAGUCACAAGCAGUACAGGCAGGAGCUCCACCUUCACAGCAGGAAGGAGUGGAACGUCCAUGCAGUCAGGGACAAGUUUCUGGUCUACGAGACACUUCCUCACGUGAGCGACACCAGUGAUGAUCCUUUGGUGCUUUGCAGUCAUGACAAGAUCGUCAUUGUUCGGCCCUUGUCAGUAACAGUGGACAACCGGGCAAAGAAUGUCUCGUGGAACUCGUUGGGCUUGCGGGAAUGCAAAGAAGAAACGGAGAACUAUACGGUGCCGAGCAGUAAGGAGAGUCAGUCGGGUUUAGUUCCAGGCAAAGGAUGAAGGAAGGAGGAGGGAUUUGCAUGGCUUGCUUAGAUUCUUACAAGCAGAGCCGUUUGACAAUCAUACUUGGUGGCAGCAAAGCUAUAAAACAUCCUUGCGAGGUACUAUGUGUUUUUUCCUUUUUAUUGUAAGUAACACUCGUUGCUCUCCAGGAAGGAAAAAUGGGAGCAGUUGACUUUGCUCAUUCCUUUUUCCGUGAGAUUAUGUGGCGGUCUAUGAAGAUCGAUGUCAUAGACCAGCUAGAUAUUCCUCCUCAAGAAGAGCGAAUUACAUGGCUCAAGUUUUCGGGUGUUGAGAACCACUUUUAUAGGCAACAACACGAGCAAUGCGUGAAGAGAGCCAGAGAAGCUAUUGAGAAGUACUCAUUAGGUGCUGGUCGACCUCUAAAUCAUAUGAAUACCUCAAAGUUAAUGAACCCCUUGUUGAAGCUGCGACAAGCUUGUUGCCAUCCUCAAGUGGGGAGUUCGGGAGUACGCUCGUUGCAGGCAUCACCACGCUCAUUGCAGGCCGAUGGAUGAAGUCUUGGAGGUAAGGAACCUUGGUAUUAGAGUCUUCAGGUCCUAAUUGAAAAAGCUAAAACUGAAGGAGAAGAAGCUCAACGAGAUCUUGUUGAUUCGUUGAACGGACUGGAAGGUCUGGCGAUUAUCGAGGAAAACAUCCCCAUGGCUGUCUCCAUUGACCGAGAAGCACUAGCAGCCGCGGAGGAAAAUGCGACUAAUUUUGAAGUUGAUCCGCUUCAGAAAGUCCAUAUUUUACACAAUUUGGAAGAGUCACUCAGAAACUGCAAGGAUGACGCAUUGAGCAAAAUUCCAAGAACUCUGAGGGAUGAUAUGCUGAUCAGUCAAUGCGACGAAUUACGAAGGAAGUACGUCAGUGGCCAGUAUGCAAAUCUUGCUGCGGCUCAGCACGCUGCACACAAAGAAGUAUUAUUGAUUUCUUUUCAAAAAAGCCCUUCUUUAUCCUGCAGAUCAGUCUGAUGAUAAAUCUUCAAGAUGGAGCCACUGGUGGCUAGAUGCUUUUGCAUGGGUUCAAACAUCGAGCAAACGAAGUGACCACCUAUUGGAACGAAUAAAGCACGGGCUGGAAGAUGUAAAUCGUGCUGGUGGUCGGAAUGUUUCUAGUCUUUAUCUUUCUUGGAAGGUACUCUACUGAGCAUGUAGAUACCACGACCUUAACGGCCUCAAGUUCUUACUAAGCCAGGAGUUGGAUACUCUCCAUGAGACUCGUGACCACGUUCUGAGCCGCUUAGUUGAAGUGGAUGGCGGGAUGCAGAAUCCGAAUCCCGAUUAUGUGCAGCGCGCUGGACAAUGUUCCCAGUGCCAGCCUAGACACACUGGGAUAAUUGUGCUCAUUGUGCGAUUGAUCUCAUGUUUCAGGUACAAUCUGCUUCUGUGGUUUCUGACAUUGUCAGUGUGGAUAAACAGAAAUAUGCAAAUAGGCUAUUUUACUUGACGUCCCGAGCAGCUGAAUUAGAUGGCAUUGUUACUGCAGAAGACGCCUUUGUUUCUCAAGUAUGUUCACUGGAUAAGGGAAACAAGGAAACUGAGACGAACACAGGCAGGAGAAAAGGAGCAGCAGUAGCUGCGGUAAGGCAACUUCUUUUUGUUUUUUAAACUUUUUUCUUUUGUUUUUCUUUGCUUCGAGCUUAAAUAUUUCUUUUCACAAGUUACGCACAGAUGUUCUGAAACGGAAAUGGUUUUAAAAAUUUUACUUGCAUACAUGAAAGCGGAAACGAACCACCUUGAAGUAAACACUCCUGUGCUUAUUUGUAAGUCUUUGACAAACCAUGUCAAUUCAGGCAUUGCGUAGCGAAUAUGCAGCGGCGAGACGCUUGACAAUAGCACAACAAUUAGUUCUAACUGAAUUGGACGAGCUGAGCAUGUCGACAACAAGGCUAUGUUUGCAAGGUGCCAAGGCUGCAGACGGCAAUCCUUUUGGUGAUGAAGGCUACGAGAUAGCAAUUAGAAACGCGGAGCUUACCAACGAAAAAUUUGUUGCUGUUGAGAAUCUAUCUCGUGUGAAGAGGCAGCUCAGAUACUUGAAGGUAUUAGGCUUAAGUUUUCUUCUAUUCGCAGCUCCUCUCAUUUCCGGAUUGCAGGGUCUAAGGAAUAAGAAGGACGAGGGGCAUAACAGUUUGGAAGGAGAAAUUUGCCCAGUUUGCCACGAUGGCAUAGAAUCUGGAGCAAUGGUCCUUCCAUGCGGCCAUUUGCUUUGUGGCAAGUGUAAGUUUUUGGUGUCUUACUUUGUUGGUUUCCUGAGCAAAUCUUCAUUUUAUUUCGCAGGUUUGAAUCUUAUUGUGGACCGCCAGAAAGCACCAGCUAACGGUGCUGAUUUCAAGCGCAUUGCAUGUCCAACGUAGCAGACUUAUGUCUCUAAUAUUGCUUGUGCCAAUGCUGAAGCGGCUUCUUCGAAAAUUGCGGAAAUCCUCCAGGAAGAAGAAGAGGACGAAGAAAAAUCUAUAACCGUGGCAGGGUCGUACGGAACAUAGGUAAUCUGGCUUUGUCGUCUUUUUAAUUUAAUUCUUUUGCAACUUUGAAGAUUGAAGCUGUCGUCAGGAGAAUUCUUAGUCCCGAUCCGUUUGUGAAAAUUCUUGUGUUCUCGACGUGGAAAGAAGUGCUGGACUUGUUAAAACACGCACUGAAGAGCAACAAGCUCAGCUGGGUUCGACUAAAGCCUCUCAGGUAAUAUCGAUAAUCUGUUUUACUCUUACUCAUGUGCUCGUUUUGUGUUUUUCACAGACAAAUGGGUUCUUCCAUCUUGGAAUUUAAGGAGAACAUCCAAGUCAUGUUACUGCCCACACAACAUGGUGCCAAUGGCCUGAACUUAAUAGAGAACACGUUAUUUUGGUGGAGCCUUUGCUCACUCCGGCAGUAGAAGCUCAGGCUAUCAAUCUAGUCCACCGGAUUGGCCAACGUCUUAAGUCACUUGUACAUAGAUUCAUUGUAAGUUACGUACGUUUCUUCUGUUUUCCAAUUACUGACGACAUUUCCAGAUAUGUAACACUGUGGAGGAGAACAUCUACAAAAUGAACCAGCAGAAGACGAACCUCCUUCCAAUGAAGCAAAAAGAGCAGCCUCUAUCAGCGAAUGACAUGAACAGUUUACUAGCUUGGGACGAACCGAAAGAGAACACAGCUACUUCAAACACAGUGGUUCUACUCCUGAUACUUUCCGAGAUUUAACUCCGGCUCAAGCUGCUGCUGCUGCUGCUGAAUCGCGGCUCUUGCGACUACAGGCCAACGCUUGUCUAUAGAUUCUUUGUAAGUACUUUCUGUUGCAUGUCCGGAUUCUGAACCUUCGUAUUUUCUGGCAGAGAAGGAACAUUCUUUAGUCAAAAGAUGAGCUUUCGGUAAGUUUUUCUGUUGGCGAGGGGUUUAGCUAGCUAGCAACAGAGAUGGGUGCCAAGUUUCAGCCCCUUCCUCGCUUCUACUGGACGAAGGCUGCGAUCAGAGACCUGUGCCGGGACGACGAUCUCUACGUGAAGACGUAGUAUGGUAGGAAGUUGAGGCCGCCGCCUCGUCCGCGACUAAGUCGAGAGCAGGAACGCUUUGUUCACACAGACCCUCAAGCAGGCUUGGAUAGAAUCAGUGGGCAGUGGGUAGCACUCCAACACCAGCUCGGGAAGAAGCAGGAAGGCACCUACAUGGGUCCGAUUCUGGGUCACAAGCAAUACAGGUGCGAGCUCCAUCUUCACAGGGGACAGAAGCAAUGGAAUGUCCAUGCAGUCGGGGACAAGUUUCUGGUCUACGAGACACUUCCUCCUGCGACCGACACCGGUGAUGAUCCUCCGGUGCUUUGUGGUCGCGACAAGUUCGUCAUUGGUCGGCCUCUGUCACUAGACAACCGGGCGACGAAUGUUUCCUCGUCGUGGAACUCGUUUCCAGUGUGGAGCUUGCCAAAAGAAGGCAAGGAGGGAACGAUCGCUCUGCCGGGGAACUAUAUGGUGCCGAGCAGUAAGGUGGCGCUGCCGGGUUUAGUUCCAGGCAGAGGAGCGCUAGUCUUCGAUGCCUUGUACGAGACUGUGAAGGAAGGAGGAGUGAGCUGGAGCUCCGAGAUGGUUGAGAAGCUGGACAGGCUCAAGCAUGGGAUAAUGCACCCCCACCAGGUCUGCGUGGUUCUCAAGAAGAUCAAGCACGACGCAUCUCUCUCGCUCAAGCUCUUUACGUGGGCCAAGACGAUCCCAGGCUUCAAGCACGACUUGGUAAACUACUCGACGAUGAUCAUGAUCUUGGGAGAUGACGGGAACUAUCUCAUGGCCGAGGCACUUUUUGUUGAGAUCCAGGAGCUCGGGCUUCGCCUUGACACGUUUGCAGUGAACAACAUGAUCCGCUGCUACACAAGAGUGAACCGGAUCCAGGAAGCUCUCGACCUCUACAGUAAGAUGCCAUACUUUGGCUGUCACCCGGACAAUUGCACCUUCGGCCUCCUCAUCGACUGGUGCGGCAAGUUCGGCUCCCGGAAGGAGCUCCAACGGAUCUUCCUCGACUUGAGAGCCUCCCCCCGCAAUGCCGACGCGCAGACGUUCAACACAAUGAUCCACAACUUCUGCAAGCAGCGGGACUUCACAAACGCCAGGGAAGCCGCCAACCAGAUGAAAGCCUGGGUACGCCAUCCUCAUCCACAUGUACGCCAAGGCUCGAGACUCGAAAGCAGCGGCAGAGCUCUACGCGGACUACCUCCGCUCCGGCCUAGAGCCAAACUUGAUCGUCUACAACAACGUGAUACUGAGUUACGGUUCCAGCGGCUUCUCUGGCCAUGCGCAGAACAUCCUGGGUGAUAUACGAAAGGCCGGCCUCGCUCCAGAUCGAUUCACGUACUGCACGCUCAUAAGUUCGUGGGCGAGAGCCGGAGCUAUGCUGCAAGCCCGGCGAUGGUUCAACAAAGCCUGCAAGACGAAGGCCGGUCCAAGCAUCGAGAUGUGCAACGCGCUCAUCGAUGGCUACCUCAAGGCCCGAGAAGUGGAACCGGCCAAGUUCAUCCUCACCAAAGUCAUGCCGGAGAGAGGCGUGGAGCCGACGCUGCAAACGUACACGAUCCUCCUGGGUCACUACACGAGCAGCGUCAAGGUGGCGGACUCGAGAGCGGUGAGAGAGAUGAUGAAGUCGUCCUCGAAACCAGCAGCAACAGCAGCAGCAGGAGGAGGAGGAGGAGAUGAUCAUCCCAGCGUGGACGAGUUCCUGAACGAGAUCUUGCAAGGCCUCCGCGCGAUCAAGGAGCUCAAGAGCUACUCGAGGGAGUUUUUCCGCAAGCUGAGGAUGGACAAGCCUCCUCGCUGGGGGCGAUGGCUGGCGGAUGCUCUCGUCAACCAUCUCCACUGCUUUGGCUACGCUCGCGAGGCCUUCUACGUGUGGGAGGGGGUCUCCUCCACAGAGCUCUACCCGAGAGGGAUCUGGGAGGACUGGCAGGGAGCGUGGUUUAUCUGGCUUGAGCUCCGGGACUGCGAUGGUGGCGCUCACCAGUGGAUUGAUCGUGUCCAGGCGGAAGCUCGCGCGGGGAUUCGAGAGGCCGGAGCGAGUGAUCAUCGUGUGUGGCUACGCGUCGGACAAGAGCAAGGAGGUGACCCAUGCGGUGAACAGGACGCUGGUGGCUCUAGACUCGCCGUUUGAGCCUUUUAUCUCUAUGGGGAGAUUUAUGUGCGAGGGGAACUUGUUUAGAGACUGGCUGUGGGAGAAGCAAGUUGCUAUGGAUGCUUAGAAUUAAUAUGUAAUUAGCACAUUAAUGGAAGGGUAAAAAGGACAAAGAUUCGUUGGAUCUAACGUUUUGAUUUUGUUUAUUUUUUCUUUAAGUUCAGGUAUUUAGGAAUUUUCUUAAAUUAGCACAUGGAUGUGAUAAGGCAAGAGCGAGCCAUAUGUUGUUUCAACUCAGAGGAAGCUGAUGAGCUGAACACCAAUGCAUUGUGAUGUAUGAUUUGGUUCUGCGGAGAUCUAUAACAUAGACUAUUGGGAAAGUAAACAUUAUGCCUAGGUAAAGUUUGUUUGGAACUUCUUUGUAAGUGCAAGAUUACAAAGACAACAAGUUGCGUUGUCAAACUUUAUAUAUAUAAUAUAUAUAUACAUUUCAAGUACCCAUUAUUUAAACAACGAUGCCCAGAGCUGUUUAUUUUAUAUAAAUACAGCAUCAUCUUCUAGGCAAGCUGGAGUAGAUCAUCCUCCUUGACGCACAGCUGGUGCCCCUGACGGUUGUAGAGCUUGCAACCUUCCUUGAGUGGCUUCUUGCAAGUGUGGCAAGAGUUGAAGUCGAGCGCAACACUUUUUGGACCUGGGCAGACAUAGGAAACAAAACCACAUUCGCGCGUGCAGACUUUACCAGGUCCUGAGACGCAUAUUGAUUUGCCAUGCCCCAAGUCCAAGCAACCUUGAGGAAUGGUGCAACAAGUAGCGCAGCUGCCUGGCGUCCAAGGAUGGACAGUGCCUCCACAAAUCUCCACGGCAUCCUUCAAGCAGGACUUGUCAUCACCAUUUACUGGCAGUGGUGCACCAGUCUUUAAAUUGUAGAGAUGACAGCCAUUCGAAGGCUCCUUAUCCGGUGGGAGCACAGAAAUUGGAAUUCGGUUAGUCCCUCGGGAUGGGCAGACUUUGAUUUUUGGUGGUUCACAAAUUAAGGGGCAAAGACGAGAAGCAGAGGUGCCACCAAGACAAACUGGACUGCCAGUUCCAGGCUCUAGAUAUAUGCAUCCAGCCUUAAGCGCACAGCAAUUGGAGCAUUCGUCCAGAGUGACAACAG